rnacentral:snoRNA from 1 species
CCCUGUAUCGAAAGGUGAUCAUGGCGUCUUGUAGCCUGGUCAUUUAAAAAAUACAGGAACAUGAACGUGGGAGCCUUUCCCUGUGUUUGCAGGACUGUCGCUUCCUGUCAGACCUCGGCGCUCUCAGACA